rnacentral:tRNA from 1 species
GGGCGAUUAGCUCAGCUGGUUAGAGCACUUGCCUUACAAGCAAGGGGUCACUAGUUCGAAUCUAGUAUCGCCCA